GUGGCGGACGGGUGAGUAACGCGUGGGUAUCUGUCUCUGGGUGGGGGAUAACAGUGGGAAACUACUGCUAAUACCGCAUGACACCUGAGGGUCAAAGGCGCAAGUCGCCUGGAGAGGAGCCCGCGUACGAUUAGCUUGUUGGCGGGGUAAUGGCCCACCAAGGCUACGAUCGUUAGCUGGUCUAAGAGGAUGAUCAGCCACACUGGGACUGAGACACGGCCCAGACUCCUACGGGAGGCAGCAGUGGGGAAUAUUGGACAAUGGGCGCAAGCCUGAUCCAGCAAUGCCGCGUGAGUGAAGAAGGUCUUCGGAUUGUAAAGCUCUUUCGACGGGGACGAUGAUGACGGUACCCGUAGAAGAAGCCCCGGCUAACUUCGUGCCAGCAGCCGCGGUAAUACGAAGGGGGCUAGCGUUGCUCGGAAUGACUGGGCGUAAAGGGCGCGUAGGCGGUUCGUACAGUCAGACGUGAAAUUCCCGGGCUCAACCUGGGGGCUGCGUCUGAUACGUACGGGCUUGAGUUCGGAAGAGGGUCGUGGAAUUCCCAGUGUAGAGGUGAAAUUCGUAGAUAUUGGGAAGAACACCGGUGGCGAAGGCGGCGACCUGGUCCGAUACUGACGCUGAGGCGCGAAAGC
rnacentral:rRNA from 1 species